AACGCUGCGCGGCGUGCUUAUCACAUGCAAGUCGAACGGUGAAGCCCCGCUUGCGGGGUGGAUCAGUGGCGAACGGGUGAGUAACACGUGAGCAACCUGCCCUGGACUCUGGGAUAAGCGCUGGAAACGGCGUCUAAUACUGGAUAUGAGCUCUCAUCGCAUGGUGGGGGUUGGAAAGAUUUUUUGGUCUGGGAUGGGCUCGCGGCCUAUCAGCUUGUUGGUGAGGUAAUGGCUCACCAAGGCGUCGACGGGUAGCCGGCCUGAGAGGGUGACCGGCCACACUGGGACUGAGACACGGCCCAGACUCCUACGGGAGGCAGCAGUGGGGAAUAUUGCACAAUGGGCGGAAGCCUGAUGCAGCAACGCCGCGUGAGGGAUGACGGCCUUCGGGUUGUAAACCUCUUUUAGCAAGGAAGAAGCGAAAGUGACGGUACUUGCAGAAAAAGCGCCGGCUAACUACGUGCCAGCAGCCGCGGUAAUACGUAGGGCGCAAGCGUUAUCCGGAAUUAUUGGGCGUAAAGAGCUCGUAGGCGGUUUGUCGCGUCUGCUGUGAAAUCCCGAGGCUCAACCUCGGGCCUGCAGUGGGUACGGGCAGACUAGAGUGCGGUAGGGGAGAUUGGAAUUCCUGGUGUAGCGGUGGAAUGCGCAGAUAUCAGGAGGAACACCGAUGGCGAAGGCAGAUCUCUGGGCCGUAACUGACGCUGAGGAGCGAAAGGGUGGGGAGCAAACAGGCUUAGAUACCCUGGUAGUCCACCCCGUAAACGUUGGGAACUAGUUGUGGGGUCCUUUCCACGGAUUCCGUGACGCAGCUAACGCAUUAAGUUCCCCGCCUGGGGAGUACGGCCGCAAGGCUAAAACUCAAAGGAAUUGACGGGGACCCGCACAAGCGGCGGAGCAUGCGGAUUAAUUCGAUGCAACGCGAAGAACCUUACCAAGGCUUGACAUACACGAGACACCCUAGAAAUAGGGGACUCUUUGGACACUCGUGAACAGGUGG
rnacentral:rRNA from 1 species